AAAAUUGACAAGGUAUGAGAAAUGAUGCAUCUAAAUCAAAGUUGUUUCUUGUUCCAGUGUUUCAGUGUUAUAUAGUUAUUUUUGUUUUCUACAACCUUUCUCAUAUUUCU
rnacentral:ribozyme from 15 species